GUGCUCGCUUCAGCAGCACAUUAACUAAAAGUGGAAUGACACAGAGAAGAUUAGCAUGGCCCCUGCACAAGGAUGACAUGCAAAUUCAUGAAGAGUUACAUAUUAAA
rnacentral:snRNA from 1 species